GGUCCGGUGCCACGUCGGCGGUAGCAAAAAAAUAGCAGUGACCGGCGAUGCUAUGAUCGGACCAACAUCAAGUUUUUUUGACGCUUCGCAUUUUGAUAGGAAUCUGUGGAUGAAUAUUUGGUUUUUCCACGGAGCCGUUUUGUGCGAUUACAUUU
rnacentral:snoRNA from 1 species